CUCUCCGUCUCCCCUUGAGUCCUCAACCACCCCACAGUGCCAAAAACUCCUCCUCCCACCCUCCGUAGAGCCGUCGUCCUCCCCAAACGGCACCCUCUCGGUGGCCCUUCCUCGUCAGUCAUCACGCUUCCCUCUUCUCGGUUCUCGGCGCAGUCCUUUCUCUUCUGACCUUCCUCAUCGUGCUUCCCUCUCCUCGGCGGGGCUCUGUCUGAUCUCUCCCUCCCUUCCUCGUCGUCCUCCACACCCCGCAGCCGCCGUCUCCUCCACGCACCAGGAGCUGCGUCGUCCUCUACGAACAGCAUUCUUCGUUUCUUCCAGAACUUGAGAGGAGUCGCCAACAUUUGAUUUCAUUCAAUUCACCCUUCAUAAACCCUAAUUUUCAACCAGUUCAUCCUGAAAGUUGGAAACCUAUGUGGUCUGUUUCAAGCAUACUCACAGGGCUUCUUUCAUUCAUGAUGGACAACAGCCCAACCACCGUCAGUAUAAAAACCACCUCCGCCGAGAAGCAGCGUUUAGCAAAAUCUUCCCUUUCUUUCAAUUGCAAGAAGUAGGUCUAUUGCAUCAUCUUUUCCCAAGUCACCAUAGAAUUUAGCAAGGUCCCUACAA